AACCCUUCUCACACUGCACACCGAGCGGAGUAUGUGGCUGUGAGAAGGGUUACACUGAAGUGAUGACCACAGACGGCUUCCUGGACUACUGCACCAGAACCCCAGGAGUGGACAACAGCAAGAAAGCUGAUGUGAAGACCAACUCUGGGAGAUUAAAACCUGGGCCGUCUCAGGCGCAGGACCUCUUCAGUGAGUGGACCUUACGGCCUGUUGGACCAGAUGGAAGACUAAAGCUGUGGGUUUACGCUGUGACUGCCGUUGGAUUCAUCUUAAUUACCUCUUCAUUAUAGCAUUAUCAUUCCUACUCUGCACACCAUCCAAACCAACAAAGACAUCCUCUCCACCACAAAAGGCCCUGACCCUGGCCUAUGAUGGGGACAUGGACAUGUGACCAGCCUGAACCGUCUGAAGUUGGCCACUUUGAACUGGGAGCCUGUUUGUGGCCAACUGUGUUGCAAAAAACUGAAACAAAUAGUGAAACUCCAGAUGUAAUUUACUGCUGCUGAAGGUACAAGAAAAACUAAAGUCAAGAGUGGCUAGGUUUUCUCUUUGAAACAGAAGAAGCAAUGACAAAUGAGACAAAGGGUCUCUGGACAUACAAAAUAAAUGGACCUCUAGUUUCUUUUAUUUUAUUUUUUGUAACUGCUUCCUGGGCAGUUAAGGUUUGCAUUACACAAAGCAGCAGGACCUCCUGAAAGAUGAGAGAAGAGACAGGUCCACAGAUGUGGUUUUGGGAGACUCCAAGACCAUCUGGUUACUUGUCACUUCAUGUUUACGUGCCGAGAGGACACUAACGUCUUGAGUCACCAGUCAACUGUGACAUUCAAAGACUGUGAAUGGAACAUAUGACUUUUAUUCUUUGUCUCAUCAGUGCUGGAUAUUUGUAAAGAAAUUGUCACAAACCUUUGAGUAAACGGCCUUUUUAGAAUAUCAGAGAAUAAAGAAGGGGCGUUAUGCACUACGUUAGUGCUGAUUCACUUUUGUUUUCUCUUUCAAAUGACUUUUCUAGUGUUUUCAUUGUGAUGCAAGGUGUUGCUGUCACAUUGUGUUUUGAUGAUGCCAUAUGUUGUGUAUUUUUGGACUUUGAAACCAAAAGCAGGCUUGCCUUGAUUUUAAUGAUGCCAUGAUGCAGUACAUCGCCCUCCAUGAUUCAUAGAAGAUGCUCCGCCACCGACAGCUAAACUGAGAAACGACCUCACAAACGGGACGUCGGAGCCUCAGCACAGCAGGCUGCGGUGGUGACAAAUGUAGUCGGGAAUUAGCACAUUAUAAACAAAACAGCACAACAGACUAUAAUGCAUAUCAAAUACCAGCAUGAUACACAACACACCUCAUUCAGUUUUUCAUCAAAUGCAAAGAAAAACAACAGAUGGAAAAAAAAUCCCCAGCAGAUUAUACACAUUUAUAAGUUUGUCACAGGUAGAACUGAUCAAAACAAUUCCAUGCUUCAUAUUUUCUUUUAAUGCCAUCUAUCUUAUUGUCAAUAAAUUCAAUCAAAUGGUAUCAAGAA